rnacentral:rRNA from 1 species
AGAGUUUGAUCCUGGCUCAGAUUGAACGCUGGCGGCAUGCUUUACACAUGCAAGUCGAACGGCAGCACAGAGAAGCUUGCUUCUUGGGUGGCGAGUGGCGAACGGGUGAGUAACAUAUCGGAACGUACCGAGUAAUGGGGGAUAACUAAUCGAAAGAUUAGCUAAUACCGCAUAUUCUCUGAGGAGGAAAGCAGGGGACCUUCGGGCCUUGCGUUAUUCGAGCGGCCGAUAUCUGAUUAGCUAGUUGGUGGGGUAAAGGCCUACCAAGGCGACGAUCAGUAGCGGGUCUGAGAGGAUGAUCCGCCACACUGGGACUGAGACACGGCCCAGACUCCUACGGGAGGCAGCAGUGGGGAAUUUUGGACAAUGGGCGCAAGCCUGAUCCAGCCAUGCCGCGUGUCUGAAGAAGGCCUUCGGGUUGUAAAGGACUUUUGUCAGGGAAGAAAAGGCUGUUGCUAAUAUCGACAGCUGAUGACGGUACCUGAAGAAUAAGCACCGGCUAACUACGUGCCAGCAGCCGCGGUAAUACGUAGGGUGCGAGCGUUGUCCGGAAUUAUUGGGCGUAAAGGGCUUGUAGGCGGUUUGUCGCGUCUGCCGUGAAAUCCUCUGGCUUAACUGGGGGCGUGCGGUGGGUACGGGCUGACUUGAGUGCGGUAGGGGAGACUGGAACUCCUGGUGUAGCGGUGGAAUGCGCAGAUAUCAGGAAGAACACCGAUGGCGAAGGCAGGUUACUGGGCCGUUACUGACGCUGAGGAGCGAAAGCGUGGGGAGCGAACAGGAUUAGAUACCCUGGUAGUCCACGCCGUAAACGAUGAGUGCUAGGUGUUGGAUCCUUUCCGGGAUUCAGUGCCGCAGCUAACGCAUUAAGCACUCCGCCUGGGGAGUACGACCGCAAGGUUGAAACUCAAAGGAAUUGACGGGGACCCGCACAAGCGGUGGAGCAUGUGGUUUAAUUCGACGCAACGCGAGGAACCUUACCAGCGUUUGACAUCUUAGGAAUGAGACAGAGAUGUUUCAGUGUCCCUUCGGGGAAACCUAAAGACAGGUGGUGCAUGGCUGUCGUCAGCUCGUGUCGUGAGAUGUUGGGUUAAGUCCCGCAACGAGCGCAACCCUUGUCAUUAGUUGCCAUCAUUUAGUUGGGCACUCUAAUGAGACUGCCGGUGACAAGCCGGAGGAAGGUGGGGAUGACGUCAAGUCCUCAUGGCCCUUAUGACCAGGGCUUCACACGUCAUACAAUGGUCGGUACAGAGGGUAGCCAAGCCGCGAGGUGGAGCCAAUCUCACAAAACCGAUCGUAGUCCGGAUUGCACUCUGCAACUCGAGUGCAUGAAGUCGGAAUCGCUAGUAAUCGCAGGUCAGCAUACUGCGGUGAAUACGUUCCCGGGUCUUGUACACACCGCCCGUCACACCAUGGGAGUGGGGGAUACCAGAAGUAGGUAGGGUAACCGCAAGGAGCCCGCUUACCACGGUAUGCUUCAUGACUGGGGUGAAGUCGUAACAAGGUAGCCGUAGGGGAACCUGCGGCUG